rnacentral:piRNA from 1 species
UGGAAGUCAUGCUACACGCGAGAUGGCCAGC